rnacentral:lncRNA from 1 species
UCUGGUAAGACAAACUCUAGAUCCCAACUGUAUUUCUAUAGGAUCUGUCCCUUUUGCUAAUAAGUUAGGAAGUCAAGAAGCUCAAAUACUGCCUGAUGACACGCCUUUAAUCCUAAACUCUUGAGUCAGGUAGAUCUGAGUUGGAGGCCAGCCUGGUCUACUGAGUGAGUUCCUGAACAGCCAGGACAACAGAGAAACCAUCUUGGCAGGGAGGUGGGAGGAUUCAACUACUGACUUAAAAACUCAUCUUGUUUGAAGCAGUAAAUAUUUUGUUUUUUAGUACAAUUACAUUGGUUAUCUUGACUAUAAAAAGGAAAGAAUUCGUAAGCUAUCCAUGAAAGCCAGCACCUGCUCCUUUAAUCCUGGAGUUUUUGUUGCCAACUUGACUGAGUGGAAAAGACAGAAUGUAACUAACCAGCUGGAAAAAUGGAUGAAGCUCAAUGUAGAGUAAGUAUGUAACUAACUUAGCUAUUAAAACAUUGAACAGUUGGUCUUACUCUUCACUAACUGCUGUUUCACAGAGAGGGACUGUACAGCAGAACCCUGGCUGGCAGCAUCACCACACCUCCUCUGCUUAUCGUAUUUUAUCAGCAGCAUUCCACCAUUGACCCUAUGUGGAAUGUCCGCCACCUUGGUUCCAGUGCUGGAAAACGGUAUUCACCCCAGUUUGUAAAGGCUGCCAAGUUACUUCACUGGAAUGGUCACUUCAAGCCUUGGGGAAGAGCUGCUUCAUAUGCUGACGUUUGGGAGAAAUGGUAUAUUCCAGACCCAACAGGCAAAUUUAGUUUAAUCCGAAGACAUAUGGAUACCUCAAACAUAAAGUGAACUAC